rnacentral:rRNA from 1 species
AUUGAACGCUGGCGGCAGGCCUAACACAUGCAAGUCGAACGAGUGGCGGACGGGUGAGUCAUGUCUGGGAAACUGCCUGAUGGAUGGGGAUAACUACUGGAAACGGUCGCUAAUACCGCAUACCAUCAGAAGUGGCCAGCUGGGAUUAGCUAGUAGGGGGGGUAACGGCUCACCUAGGCGACGAUCCCUAGCUGGUAUGAGAGGAUGACCAGCCACCCUGGAACUGAGACACGGUCCAGACUCCUACGGGAGGCAGCAGUGGGGAAUAUUGCACAAUGGGCGCAAGCCUGAUGCAGCCAUGCCGCGUGUGUGAAGAAGGCCUUCGGGUUGUAAAGCACUUUCAGCGGGGAGGCGUUACCCGCAGAAGAAGCACCGGCGAACUCCGUGCCAGCCGCCGCGGUAAUUC